GUCGCGACCCGAUCUCGCCGCCCCCUCGAAAUGGUAUCCAAGGAUGGGAAAGGUCGGGUUUAGGGGUACUUGAUCACAAAAGUUCCCUCACGGCUUGCAUUCCAAACAACGUCAUCACCUCGCCUUUUGGAUCAAGCCUCUCAUGAGUUCCCUCUACGAGAUCGCAAGCUCUCCCAAGCUCGUACCCCGCGUGACAGCGGAAUGUCGCGAUCCAUACCCACAUAAGCGACACACCUAAAAAAAAAGGAGUUGAAUGUGGAUAUCGAAUUUAAGGGUACUUUUACCAUGGUAGCCCUCUCGAUAGUACGCUCCACCCAUUAGGAUGGCAUCACUUCAUCCUUUGGGCUACCCCCACAUCGAGUAUGCUAAACCAUAGUGAGUUUCAUCGAAACUCAUACCCCGCGUGACAACUGAUUUAUUUAUAAGAUCUACUUAUUUAUGACAACCUAAAAAUAGACGGGAGUCGCCACUAGCCUCAACUUUGGGGGUCGACUAGAAACCCAAUCGAGGGUCAGGAGUGUUCCCUCGAUUUCUACGCAACCAGAUAUCUAGGUUCGGGGACUUGGGUUACGCUAAUAUUGCUAUUAACGCCCUUUCGGUACCUAAACAGUAUGUUGUGUUUUUCCUAAUAUGUCCAUGCGUUUCUUUUUAUAUUUUCAGGAUCAUCAAUUCCUAUACUAAGUGAUCAUGCGUGGUUGAUCAUUUUCAUGCUAUUCUAUUUCUAAAAAAAUAAAAAGGAAAACAACCAAUGAAAUUGAAAUUACAAAACAUGAAGUAAACAAUCAAGAAAAGCAGUUAAACCUAUCGGGCAGUCCUAAAAAAUAUAAAAGAGAAAACAAACGAGAAAGAAAGGAAACCCGCAACUCGUCGGGCUUUAUACAAUGCAUAAAACCCGAGACAUAUGUCGGGAAAACAAAAAGUACAUGACAAUAGUCGGAAUGGACAUCGACCUUCACCAUCUUCACGCCUUACACCUUCGAGGUUCUAAUCUAAAUCUAAUCUAAGAAAACCUAUAACUAGGUGCGUACAAAUAAAAGAAACAAUCAAACACAUCAAGCAACCAAAAACAAUACAUCAUAUCAAAAUCAAUUGUUUAAAAGAAGUACAAUACGGAAUCAAGUUUCGAGUGAUAUCCUAAAGUUCAGCAUUGAUAUGUGUCACACCAAAACCAUUCAUCAAAUGAUCACAUGCAAGGCAUAUAAUAUGACAGACAUUCAAGUCAUAUAACCUUGGUUCUCAAUUAAUCAAGCAAAUGAAUUAGGUGACAAAAGAUCAUUCACAAAACAAUAUGCAUCAUUGAACGUGUUCAUGCUACAUGUAUGUCCAUCUAAUCAAUGCUUAAUCCACAAAUUCCAGCAUGCAAUCAGAAUUGUAAAAGAGCACAUGAGACUAUAAAUUGUGAUUAUUUGAUGACAAAUCGUCAUGAAUUGAAGCUAUAUCUUCUCACAAGCACGUAUGAGUCUACUUGAUCAAAAUGGCAUCAAUCCAUAACCAAACUAGCCUCAAGUAAAGCCAUUUGUAUAAGUGGUCAGAUCAGAUUAUAACAAGCAGAACACAUCAGCAGAUUAGUGCUCUUUGCAAGAAGCAUCAGGCAGGGCAAAUGGUGGCCAAAUCGCACGUAUUAUAUGUCUAUGAAUCGCUUGAAAAGUCUAUUACAAAUAUCUAGAAGACAUUAAACCCUAAUAACAUCAUCUACUAGCUUAGUCCAGUUAAAACAGAAAAUCACAGUAAGUCAGAACAGCAAAUCAUUCUAAAACAGUUACUGCAGAAUCAACAGACUUUGUAAGUGUUUUUGAGCGACCAAAUGACAUCUGUUAUGGGCAUGCGACAUAUCAAAUCGAAGCUUGAGAAGUCUAUUCUAUAUGUCUAGAAGGGCUUGAGGUCAGAAAAACUCGUCUAACACCUAGUUUUAGUCAAAACAGAAAGUUGCAGUACGUCAAAACAGCAAACACACAAAGAAUUGAUGCAAUUCUCAACAAACACAACAAGGUGACCACAAUGUAACAUGUAUAUUCGUGGCGAGCUAGACAAUCAUAGAUGGCAGCAAGCACAGUGAUGCAAACAAUGCUGAUUCUUCAUGUCUUACAUUGAGACUAUAUAACAUUCGUGCAUUACAUAUACACCUCAUUUACACAAAUCAAAUCGAAAGAGGCGCAAAAAGAAAUGAACAAAUCACGAUUGGGUAUACACACAACCAAAUCAAAAAUUGUAGCUUGCCUAUCAUGUUUCAAACAACUAUCCCCAACCGAUAGAAGACAGCAGUUUCUAGAAAGGAGCAUAAAAAAAAAACUCUUCCAAUGGCCGCACAACCAUAUCGGUUUACUGACAAUUACAAGCUCAUCAAGGGGCAAAAUAUAGAAAGCAAUCCAGAUUGAAGUGUACCAAUGAACUCACAGCUUUCUAGCAAAGAACACAUUCCAUAUUAUGAACAAGGAAUUCUAAAAAAAGAACACAGCAGCAGCAGAGGACUAAUUUCUACUAAAACGAGACAACAUUCUUCUGGUGCAUGUCUAGCUUGUACAGCUUGAUUUGCACUGAUGAAAACAUAAAAAAACUAAUGGGGGAACGAGGCCAUAGCACCUUUUUAAUACUUGUUACUAGGACAACUCUUCAUUAGAAAGGACCCGCUGGAAUUUAUUCUUGACUUGCCAGUUAAACCAACUGAAAAACGCAGUAGACAAAUAAUGCUAUCUGCAGGUUGCGAAGACUAACUGAGCGGGAUCAAACAUUUGGUAUGAGUAUGAUCGAACGAUUGCUUGCUAUUGAAGAACAGUAUGAACAGGUAUAAAUGGUUUCUUUUAGUCUUUUCAAAAGAGAAGAAUAGAAUAGUUCUAUUCAACAGAAGGUGAACAUUAGGCUGAACAAAAGUCAAGUAAACCCCACUCGCAAAUAACAAUGACAACUUGCUUUCUCACGUUUUCAUCAUAAUCCAUCCAUCAAUCGCAUAAGGCAUCAAUUAUUUGAGAAGAUUUAAACUCUAGAAGAAUUUCGCAGCAGGAAAGUCUUGACAUAUUCAAGCACAGAUAUUCAUACCUCAACAGCUUUAUCAGUCAGCCUCUUCAAGAACUCUGAAAAGAUUAUCUCUGUUUUUGAGUAAUGACCGAUCCAAACUCCUUGUGAGAUUUCGAUUGAAUCGGUGACUUCAAUGAAUAGCCGGCGAUUUCAAUGGUUGAAUCAGCGAGAGGAAAUACAUGCUCGGCGCCAGCAAAAGAAAACAGCAAGGAAUGGAGGAUUGAGAUGACUUCUAAAAAAAAACUUUACUAGAGAAAACGAAUCGGUAAUCUGAAUGAAACUUGCCGAGAUCUAAGAGGAAAAAUCCUCGGAAAUGACUCGAUUCAAAGGGAAAUCAUUGCUGAGCUUUCUCCGAACUCGGCACGAAUCCGAGCCUCGCGCCUCCAACUCCGGAGGGACGCGGUCCGCAACGAGAAUAUCAGACCGAGCCGAGAGCGAGAUCAUGAUCGAGCGAGCGAACGUCCGAACCAAAGAAUCGAGAGCGAUCGAGAGCCUCCUUUACGAUCCCCGACCGAGCGAGCGAGCAUCUGAUCUCCAAGAAAUAACCGGAUCUGCUGCCGUUGUCAUCGUCUCUGUCGCCGUCGCUGAUCGUAUUCGGUUUGAGCCCCGCACCCUGAACUUUUCGAUCGGCAGUUGCUCUCCUUCUAGGGCUCAAGGAUCGUCGGAUUUGGUGCGGAUCACGAGGGAGGCAAUCGCUAGGGCGGCGAUCGCCGUGAAAAGGCGGUGGCGGUCGGCUCCUUCCUCCGGCUUCUCUCCCCGGAGAUGGCGGAAUUGACCCAUGAAUUCCUUCGAUCUUUUCGGUUUUUCGCCCACUCCCCAGCAAAAAGAGAGAGAGAGAUUCCCAGAGAAUCCGAGAGCGCUUCCAAAAUUUUAGAGAGAGAGAGCCACCGAAAAAACCCCCCCAAAAC
rnacentral:lncRNA from 1 species